AAUCAACGCUGGCGGCGUGCCUAACACAUGCAAGUCGAACGCGAAAGUGGAGCAAUCCAUGAGUAGAGUGGCAAACGGGUGAGUAACGCGUGGGCGACCUACCUUCGAGUGGGGGAUAACCUUCCGAAAGGAGGGCUAAUACCGCAUGACAUCCCGUGUUUGGAUACACGGACAUCAAAGCCGGGGAUCGCAAGACCUGGCGCUUGAAGAGGGGCCCGCGUCCGAUUAGCUAGUUGGUGAGGUAACGGCUCACCAAGGCUCCGAUCGGUAUCCGGCCUGAGAGGGCGGACGGACACACUGGAACUGAGACACGGUCCAGACUCCUACGGGAGGCAGCAGUGGGGAAUUGUUCGCAAUGGGCGCAGCCUGACGACGCAACGCCGCGUGGAGGA
rnacentral:rRNA from 1 species